AACAAAAAUUUUCCUCUAUCAUUAUUAUUUAACAAUUUAAAAUUUUGUCACAAGAAUUUCAUCAUUACCAUCCUCGAUUUUUGUUUAUAAAAUUUUGUUCUACAAAAUAACUAGAUGAAAGAUUUUGAAUACAUUCCGGGGGGCUUCCCCCGUGCUGCCCCUCAGUCAACAUCAAGAUCUGUACGAGUCUUGACGUGUUAGUAGUGAAAUUACGUUUUUACGUGAUUUUAUAUUAGUUUGUCAAGAAAUCUCGUCAUUAAACGCGUGAAUAUAUUUUUGGUUACAUCAUGGCUAAAACAAAAGCAGAGCGUUUAGCCCAACAAAGGCUCUGCAAAAGACGUAAGUAUUUGGAAAUAAAAAAUUA